rnacentral:rRNA from 1 species
UACGGAGGGUGCAAGCGUUAUCCGGAUUCACUGGGUUUAAAGGGUGCGUAGGUGGGAAUGUAAGUCAGUGGUGAAAUCUCCGUGCUUAACAUGGAACUGCCAUUGAUACUAUGUUUCUUGAAUUUUCUGGAGGUAAGCGGAAUAUGUCAUGUAGCGGUGAAAUGCUUAGAUAUGACAUAGAACACCAAUUGCGAAGGCAGC